ensembl:lncRNA
UCCUCACCAACACUUGCAUUCUGUUUCUUUAAUGAUAGCCAUCCUAAUGGACAUGAAAUGCUGUCUCAUUGUAGUGUUUGUUUGUUUGUUUGUUUUUAUUAAAGGGUGAGAUUUAUUGUUUCCUGUUUUAUUAGAUAUAGUUGACACAUAAUAUUAUAUUAACCCAAGGUGUCCAACACAAUAAUUUAUGUAUCUAUCGUGAAAUGAUGACCACAGUAAGUUUAGUUAACAUCCAUCACCUCACAACAUUAUACAUUUUUUCUCGUCGGAAGAACUUUUAUGAUCUAUUCUCUUAGCAACUUUCAAAUAUACAAUACUGUUUUGUGAACUAUAGUCACCAUGCUGUAAACUAUAUCCAUAGAACUUAUCCAUCUUAUAGCCCUUACUGUCCUCGAAUAAGUAUCCAUAAUGUUGGCUUCGAUUGUUUUGUUCUCAAAUAAUCUUAUAGGAUUCCUGACAAGGGCAUUGUUGUGUGUGUAGAGAGGGAGAGGCAGCAGAAGAAUAACCCCCUGUCUCUAACUGGGAUUGUGAGCUAGCUGUUUAUGAAUCACCCUUGGGACUUCAGAAACAACCCAGGUAUAGUUUGUGUAAAAAUUAAUUCUACUUGUCAUUGGAGUAUUACAAAGUAAAUCCAACCUCAGGGCUAGGUGGGUAAGAUGACACCCAGCUCAUGAGGGGUGGCUCACCCGAUUACAGAUGGCUAAAAAGCUGUUUCUCAGGGGAAAAUACUUAGUUGUCGAAGACAGUAUAACUUUCCUCUCAAACCUUAAGAGUUAUUAUUCUGAAGAUGGUCCCAGGGAUUCAUGACAUUUUUAACUAGUAGGGAAAGCAGGAUAUAAAAAUUUGUCCCUCACUCUGGCAUCCCUCAGACCAUUAGACCCCAGGAAAGUUCACUGGGAUGCCAGGCCUCUGCAUAUACACGCGAUUAAUAUCUGGCUGAGACAAAUGAUUCUUACCAAGCUAUCCACUGUAGUAUUCUUUUUAUAAUAUCUUCAGCUCUUUGAAUUAAUUACCUUGAAUGUCAUGUGGGACAGUAAAAUAAUCCAGGUCCUUUUCAUUUAUUAACCCAUGCAACAAAUAGUUAUUGAGCAGUUAGUUCAUGUCAGGCUCUUUUCUUGACUCUGGUGAAACAAUAUUACACAAAGUAAAGUCCUUGCCCUCAGGGAGAUUACAUACUUGUAAAAUAGACAAUAAGUAUGAUGUAAAGUAAUUUUGUGUAACAUCUUGUAAAGUAGUGCUACAAAGUGAAAGAAGGGCACACAGAAUGGAGAGUGCUGCUUUGGAUAGGGUAGUCAGGAACAUGCUUAGAAAUGCUUACAUCUAAAAAGAGAUAAAAAGGAAAUGAGAGAGUGUCAAGCACUUUCAAGGCUUGAUAUUGGACUUCUCAGUUGGCAGAACUGAGAGAAAACAAUGUUUGUUGUUUAAGCCACCCUGUGUGUGGUAUUUUUGGAAUAGCAACCCAAAUGGAGUAAGAUAGUACUCUAUGGUGCUUUGAUGCCUGCGACCAAGUUAGAAUACUGGAAUUGUGUGCUGACCACUUCGUUUAUGUAGUAGUCAUCAGGAACCUGAACCCUUGAAAACUCUUAAAGGUUUACUCAGAUCACUGUAAGGAGAUUAUCCCAUUCUAUUGGCAUACUCAGGGCAACUCCAAUUGCUGUCUUUGAGUGAUAACAUCUCUCCCCAGCACUCUCCUCAGAGCCUUAGCUACAUCCUUAUUCUGGAGAGUAUAAAUCAAAGGAUUCAUUGUGGGAGUAAUGAUGCUGUAGAAAACAGAACCAACUUUGUCUUGCAAUGGAGUGCACUGGGACCUGGGCCUCAUAUAUGAGAACAUGCAGGCACCAAACCAGAGGGAAACCACAGUGAGGUGAGAGCUACAAGUGGCAAAGGCAUUUCUCUUACUCCCAGCUGCACGCAUCUGAAUGAGGCUGUGGAGGAUGAAGGCAUAGGAUGUAGAAACCAGCAAGAUGGGGAGGAGGAGAAGUAGGAUGCUGCUGAUGAACACUGUGGUCUCAAAAACAGCAACGUCUCCACAUACC